CACAAAUACAUUUCAAUGCACACAUAAAUGGAUAUCGGUAUGUAUAAAUGUAAAAUAAAUCCAUAAACAAAAAUAAGUUUCAUAAACACAUUUCUGAUCCACACACAAAUGUACCUUGUUUUAAAUAAAUGUAAUAUAAAUCCAUAAAUAUAUUAAUUAAAAAAAUAUUUGCAAUUUUCAUCACAAUGUAUUUGGAUGUUGUUACAUUUAUAUACAAACUGUUAAACUUGUAUUUACAAGACGUUUUUAAUUUGGGAACUUAUUUGCAUUUUUGUGUGAACUGGUCUGUAUUUAUGUGUGGAUUUUUGAGACUCUCCUGAUGUCGCUAGAUUCACAAAUGCAUUUUUUUCAACAAGGAACUCUCUGUAGCCAAUCAGAUGCCUCCCUCGUUUUCAGCCAAUCACAAAAGGGUGAAACUGAUCACGGGGCCGUGGCAUCUGGAAGAAACUCCCCCGGGACGCACAGGGGCUGGCCGUACACCAGCUUGGCCGAUGAGGCUUGAAGAUCUUCCUUGGGGGCAGAGCGAAGGCCCAGCGUAACCCAUGGGAGGCGGUCAGCCCAGUCACUGCCCGUAAGGCUGGCCCUGAGCGCGGCCUUCAUGUCACGAUGAAACCGCUCGCAAAGUCCGUUGCUCUGUGGGUUAUAGGCUGUGGUACGGUGGACCUUCACCCCCAGGACCCCGGCGACCGCAGACCGCUACGAUGUGAACUUCGGACCCCGGUCCGAGGAAAGGUCGGACGGUGUGCCGAAACGGGCCACCCAAGCCAUAAUGAUCGCCCGGACAACUUCCGCUGAUGUAGUGGAGGACAGGGGAACCACUUCUGGCCACCUGGUGGUCCUGUCCACCAUGGUGAGGAGGUAGGUGUAACCACGGGAGGGGGAAAAUGGGCCCACCAGGUCUACAUUCACAUGGUCAAAACGUCUCUCUGACACUUUGAAGGGUUGCCAAGGGGGCCUUAGUAUGACGAGUCACCUUUGCACGCUGGUACGCCACAUAGACAGCAGCCCAGGCCCUGACGUCCCUCCGCAGGCCCGGCCAGACGAAAUUGGCCCCCACCAGCUUGGCAGAGGCCUUCACCCCCGGGUGGGAAAGGCCGUGGAUAGUGUCAAAGAACUUACACCUCCAGCCAGCAGGUACCAUGGGACACGGUUGGCCGGUGGAGACGUCGCAGAGGUUCAUUUCUGGGGACCAAUCCAACAUGUCCGCCGGCCUCCUGCCCCGCAAGGCGUCGUACAAGGGUCUCAUGAGUUGGGCCGCAUGGGGGAGGAAACGGUUGUAGAACUACACCAUGCCCAGGAACUCCUGCAGAGACUUCACAGUGGGCGGGCGUGGGCAACUGGCGACAGCGUCCACCUUGGCAGGGAGGGGAACGCCCCCCUGCGGGGUGACAUGGUGGCCAAGGAAAGUGAUGGAUGACCGGCCCAACUCGCAUUCGGCCAGGUUGACGAUGAGACCAUGCUCACUGAGCCGACCGAACAGCUGCUGUAGACGCGUCAGGCGGUCGUCUGCUGACGCACUGGCCAUGAGAAUGACGUGCAAGUAAACAAACAGGAACGGCAUGUCCCGCAGCACAGGGUCCAUGAGGCGCUGAAACGUCUGCGCCGCACCCUUGAGGCCAAAGGGUGUGAUGACUGCCGUCUUGGGCACAUCCUGCGGGCCGACGGCACCUGAUGGUAACCGCGCACCAGGUCCACCUUCAAAGAUGGCGGCACCGGCCAGGUGGGCGGACACGUCCUUAAUGUGCGGCGCUGGGUACCGGUCGGCGGUGGUGGCGUUGUUUAGGCGACGGAAAUCACUACAGGGACGCCAACCGCCAUCAGCCUUGGUCACCAUGAGCAGGGGGGAGGCCCACGGACUUUUGGAACGUGCACAAUGCCGAGGCUGCCUUGUUCUUUUUGGAAAAAGUCUGCCGAAUCAGGAUCGCUUUAACUCACAUUAUUUGGUAAUGUUUUUGCCCAGUCUCUAUGAAGCAAAAGGAGGGGAAUUGUAUGGGCAGUUUGGGCACGCGUGGAGAUACAAUUAGUAGGGCAUCUGAAGGAUGCGUUACCUGGAGCGUUGUAGCCCCUGGGCUAUGUGUUGUGACUUAUCUACUGGGCAGGCGUGGACUCAGUUAUGUGCUCUGAUUGGCUAAGCAUGGUGCUGAACUCCCGCCCCCCUGGAUACCCGUAUGUGUCUUUAUGCUGUCCCUUGCGGCUAUGUGUUGGCAUUGCAACUUUGUUUGUGGCAAUGUGUGGGAAUUACACUUGUUCUUGUGGCCUUGAGCGUCUGGGUCUCUCGAACAUCUUGACUGCUCGUAUCUCUAGAAUUGACACAUGAUGAAUGGCCUCCUUUAUGAGCUGGACGCCUCCCUAGGCUCCGGAUCCCUCCUUAGCAUGGGAAAAAGCCUCUUUUUAUUGGCAAGGGCAUAUGUUGCCUUGGUAUGAGUGUGUGAAUUAUGUUACAAUUCCCUCCUUGGUCAUCUCAGAUGACCAUCCUACAAGCAAUAUAAAAGUAUAGAAGUAUAAUAUUGGAUCCUCAUUGGAUCAUCGGCCUGUGACCUUCAGCACUCACUGGAUCGGCUGGCGGCCGAGUGUGAAGCGGCUGGGAUGAGGAUCAGCACCGCUAAAUCUGAGGCCAUGACUCUUAGCAGGAAACCGGUGGAUUGCUUACUCCGGGUAGGAAAUGAGUCCUUAGCCCAAGUGAAGGAGUUCAAGUACCUCGGGGUCUUGUUCGCGAGUGAGGGUACUAUGGAGCGUGAGAUUGGCCGGAGAAUCGGAGCAGCGGGGGCGGUAUUGCGUUCGCUUUACCGCACCGUUGUUACGAAAAGAGAGCUGAGCUGCAAGGCAAAGCUCUCGAUCAACCGGUCGAUCUUCGUUCCUAUCCUCACCUAUGGUCAUGAGGGUUGGGUGAUGACCGAAAGGACGAGAUCGCGGGUACAAGCGGCCGAGAUGAGUUUUCUCAGAAGGGUGGCUGGCGUCUCCCUUAGGGAUAGGGUGAGAAGCUCAGCCAUCCGUGAGGAACUCGGAUUAGAGCCGCUGCUCCUUUACUUAGAAAGGAGUCAGCUGAGGUGGUUCGGGCAUCUGGCAAUGAUGCCCACUGGGCGCCUCCCUUGGGAGGUGUUUCAGGCACGUCCAGUGGGGAGGAGACCUCGGGGAAGACCCAGGACUAGGUGGAGAGAUUAUAUCUCAACACUGGCCUGGGAACGCCUCGGGAUCCCCCCGUCAGAGCUGGUCAAUGUGGCCCGGGAAAGGGAAGUCUGGGGCCCCCUGCUUGAGCUGCUCCCCCCGCGACCAGACCCCGGCUAAGCGGAUGAGGAUGAGGAUGAGGAUGAGGAUAAUAGUAUAAUAGUAUAAAAGUAUAAAGCAAAACAGAAAAAUAUCAUGGCUACAUUACCAUGCAACAAUCAUCAAAACCACCAACCAACCCGCACAAUCAGGCAGUCCGGAGGGUCACAUGGAAUACACAGUGGGCUACAAGCCUCACUCAACAAAUAAGCAGUAGACAUCCAACCACCAUGUCAUACAAUCAUCACUAAAUUAGUAGUCACACAAUCGUCACUAAAUUAGUAGUCACACAAUCAUCACUAAAUUAAUAAUCAAAAAUACCUCAUGCAACAUUUAGGAAAACAGUAAUCAAAAAUAGGUCAUGCAAUCAUCAACCAUUGAUCCAAAAAGGCACACAUAUAGGUUUAACUAAAAGAUAAAAAAAAAAAAAACACACCAAAUACCUCUACGAAGAAAAAUGUAACAUCAUGUAGAGUCCCAUCCACUCCCCCCAUUGGUUGUUUAUAAUCACAAAAUCAUAACAUGCAUAUGACCACAGACUAUUAUGUCUGACCAUGGCCCCCUAUCACAGAUAUUUAUUCCACCGUUCGCUUUUACGGAAAGUAGCACAAAAUCACUCAACAUAUAUCCGGAGGGAGACAACCGCGGGCAACAAUCCAUUUCUCCCAUGUCGUGGUUCAUGAACUUCUGGGGUUAUCUCAACCAUGGCUGAGAUAACCCCAACUAGAGUCUCGUUGUGGAAAUAACAGACGUCAAAAAACCGACAUGUUAUGCGCCAUAACACAAACAGAAGAACGGUUAUCCAAAUAACAAAGAAGUGUACAACACUUGCGUUACAGUGUGUGUAUUCACACACACACACGUGGCGCUCGCACGGUCGUAACUCAUUGUCUCAUUGGCGGGCCAAAUUCUUUGGGUGGGCAAGGCAGAGAAAGGGGAGGUAACUUGGCCCCUUAUGACGACAUAUGGGGCCAAAUUCGGAAUCUGAGCAUCUGAGCUUUCACUUUUCAAAGGCGGAGCAGGAUACCUAGUGCUCGUUUUGCACCUUAUGCCAUUUCUAGCUACUGGGGGACCAUAGGGAGGCUAGGGAAACUCAUAUUAAUGUUAGAAAACCUCAUAAAGUGACAUUUUCAUGCCAUGGGACCUUUAAGGCCCGUAGUAUAGAGCGUUGUGAUUGGUCAAGUGCAUGUUUUGGGAUGCCAAACAAUGGGGGGAUUUAUUGGUGUGUUCGUACACCAGCCUUAAGGGCUGAUUAUGGUUCCACGUCGACGUAACGCAAGGACCUGUUUUGGUUCUCUGUCGGGUUUUGAGAAGGGUCUGGCUGCAGUCUGUAGGACAUGGACAUCCACAUCCAACUGCUCAACUGCUACUUCACUCAAUCCCGUCUUCCAAUUGUCGCGAACACAGCAGCUCUGGGGAGGCAUGGUUUAUCCCCGGGCGUGGGAAAGUUUCAAUCUCUUUCAAUCUCUUCUUUCAAUACAAAAACCCUAACCCUAACCACUACCUAACCCUAACCCUAACCACUACUACCCUAACGCCUGAUUUCCACCAGGGACGUACGCGCCGCGGAACGGCUGUGAACUCUGCCCUGCGUCAAUCCCCACCGGGCGCGUAACGGCAGUGUAGCGCUUUGCGCUGCCUUGCGAGCCAGCCGUAUUGACACGAGAUCACGAGAUCACGCGAUAAUCCUAAACCUAAUGUACUCACCUCAUGUGCAUGUUGCACAGGGGCAGCCGGGAUAGUGUUUAAUGAAGGGAGAGGAUCCUUGGCCAGGUAUAGCUGUUGAGGGAGGACAUUGCCUUGCAGCAGCAUGUUCCUGUCC
ensembl:lncRNA